GACGAACCGUGCGAACGUUGUUCGGAAUCACUGGGCUUAAAGGGCGCGUAGGCGGGCGCCCAAGUCCGGGGUGAAAGCCCCCAGCUCAACUGGGGAACUGCCUCGGAUACUGGGCGUCUGGAGUGGGGUAGGGGUCCGCGGAACGCUGGGUGGAGCGGUGAAAUGCGUUGAUAUCCAUCGGAACUCCGGUGGCGAAAGCGGCGGACUGGACCCCCACUGACGCUGAGGCGCGAAAGCCAGGGGAGCGAACGGG
rnacentral:rRNA from 1 species